rnacentral:lncRNA from 1 species
UAGAGAGUACACUGACCUCAAGAUACAUAUCAAUGGCUUUGUAAACUCCAUCGAAGCAAUCUCUAGCAGAAUCUGGUAAACUCUCUGCAACUCCAAGAAAUUUUGAGGUCUUGAGGUUGGGAUCAGGAGAUAUUUCACUUAAAUAUUUAUCAAUCAAUUUACCAACUUUCUUCAUCCUUUGAAUGCUCACCAUUUCACCAUUAACAAAUAUUCUUAUCAAUCUUAUAACCAGAUUAACGUCAUAAAUUCCACUCCUCUCAUGCCCAGAUAUCAGCAGAUCAUCCAAUGUUGCUUCGUCAAGAAUGUUGCCUAUCACCUUCUCCAACUUAGCUCUGCAAUCUUUGCUCACACCAAAUCUUGACACACUCCUCAGUAUCAGCAGCAGUCCUCUGCAAGAAAAUUCACUUUUCCCGGCCAAUAUCACCCCAUGAACAGCUGUGUCUGCAAGACCACCAUAGUCGGAUCUUGAGCACACAGCUUUGCGCGGAACUCUGUUUUUCAGGUAAUGGAGGAUGAAUCUUGUGAUGAUCAAGCUGUUGUUAUGAAUCCCAUAUGCCUCCCAAUUCUUGAUGAAACUUUCAAUUAUUACAGGAGAUAAUAAGGCUAAGUCAUUGAACCACCACUGGUUGCCUGAGGAUGAAAACGGUUUUCUCGACUCGGGAGUGGUUUUGGAAGAGGAGAGUCUGAACCCAGAUGCAGUUUCUGGAGAAGAAGACGAAGACGAAGAAGAAGCAAUCAGGUUUGUAUCAGAAUGUUGAGUAAUCUUUGCUAAUAAGCCAUAGAUGAGCUUCUGGACAAGGCCUGAUGAAUCUGCAUAUGUGAAAAAGCACUCACAGCUCUUGAGACUUGCGAGUAUAUCAUUCCAUGACCAGUCAAAAAUUCCUUCAAGAAAGAUCUCUGUCUGUUUCAAGAGAUUGCAAUUUGAGACUUUAUCUGUCAUACCUAGAAAGAUUGCACAGCAAUGGAGUAGAGCUACAUUUGAAACUGUGAUUUCAAUUCUGCCAUGAUUGUAGCAGAAUCUUGAAACCAGCUCAAAACCAUAAGGACCUCCUGGGAAAUCAUCGAUUUCAAUAACUGAAUUCUUAAUCUGGGUUUUCCUCUUUUCUUGCUUGAUGAUCUUCCUCAACUUUCCUGAAUAUGCAGACAGAAUUUUCUGCAGAACAACAAAUUAAGAUUGAAUGAAUGAUACACAAAAAUUAAUAGAAAACAGAGACAAGUUGAUAACAGCGGAUUACCUCAUUUAGAAAGAAUGUUUCUUGAGCAUUAACAUGGAUUGAAAGAUCACAGAGUCGAGACAUUGUAGAUUUAGCAUUGAAUAAGAAAAGGGUACGUGUUGGAAUCAGGCAGUGAGCAAUAAAUCCUCAAGGAUUUAUAUACAUGUUAGAAUAAAUACAUAGAGGUUUGUCAACUUGUUAUGUGAAAACAAAUUUGUUUUAUGAGACAAAUGAAAUUUGUAUCUCAUUGAAAAGAUUGGGAGACAAAAUUUUCAUUUUUCUCUUAAAGAAAUGUAUAAUUUCCAUUAUAUACAAUGAAGGUGCACUGAAUCAAAAUAAAAUAAUGAAGAAGUUGGUGUUUUGUAGGUAAUAGAGACAGAAGUCUGCAAGUCAAGAGGCCUUUCUUUCACUAUGCAAAUUGCCAUCUACGCUAUAUAGCUUUGUAUUUAUAUGGGAAGAUAUUCUCUAGGGACAUGUGAAGAGGGGACCCAGCAAAGGAUGGAAAUGAGGACUCGUGAAUAAGAAACAGACCUCACCACUAUGAUAUUAUUUUUCUCAUAAUGUCAAUUCAACAAUCAUAC